UACGGGGGGGCAAGCGUUGUUCGGAAUUACUGGGCGUAAAGGGCUCGUAGGCGGCCAACUAAGUCGGAUGUGAAAUCCCCAAGCUUAACUUGGGAACUGCAUCCGAUACUGGAUGGCUUGAAUCCGGGAGAGGGAUGCAGAAUUCCAGGUGUAGCGGUGAAAUGCGUAGAUAUCUGGAGGAAUACCGGUGGCGAAGGCGGCAUCCUGGACCGGCAUUGACGCUGAGGAGCGAAAGCUAGGGGAGCAAACGGGG
rnacentral:rRNA from 1 species